CCCCCCCCCCAAUCACUUUUGUAGCGAUCCGUCCCUAAUGCUUUCCUUUCCCCAGGAGUAAAUAGCCGGACGAAAUUAGAACCCUCGCAAGGCGACUCGGGGAUUAACGAAUUAUCUGUGUGUUGUCAACGUUUGGCCAUGUGAGCAUCUCGUCAACAUGUGGGCUGACACAUGUCGCACAAAUGCACGUGGUCUUAAAAGAUUCUUGUUGUUGCGUAUUAAACAAUAGAGAGCUUUAGCAGCAACUAUGACCACGCGUACGAGAUCAAUUCAUCAAUGCGAAACGCAUGCUGUAUGCUUACGCCAACCCUACCGACGUAAAAAUGUCGUAGCAGUCGCCCAUCUCAGAACGAAAUUUUGAAGAAAUCCUUACUCCUGACGACAUCUUAAAACACAAAGAAACUUUUUUUUCUUUUUUUUUCUGCAAAAAUAAUUUGUAACCUUUAUCCAGAGCAAAUACUAAAUGUAAUACUGUAAUGUAGUAAUGUAAUAUUUGGUUUGUUUUUGGCUUCACUUAUUCAUGACUUAUUCGUACUUAAUUCGCGUGUAUUGUUCCUUAUAGAAUGGACUUGGAUCAAGUCUGUCUCUCUAGAGUCCGAGUCGCGAAGCGACGAGGUCGAGAGCGACGUGAAGCGGCGCGCGAGGUGCAAGAAAGGAGGGACUUGGCUCAUCUGCAAUGUUUUGAAUCAGAUUUAUUAUUUUGGCGGGAAUUUUGUUACAAAUACGGAAACCGGCGGAAGUGUCUGGGCAAAAUUAUUUAAAAUACGCCUUUAAUAUAUAACUAUAAGCCUUAUAUUUAAACAAACACUUUUUAUUAAAUCGUAUCUAUAGACUCUAGUUAAUUAUUAUGACUAUAAGCACAGAAUUUGUCCUGAGCAAAAUAUCCCUGACUGUAUCAAACUUUCGUGUGAUCAUGAAGUUUGCCGUGACACUUUAAUAGUGUGACACUAGUUGUGCAGUUUUAUAUAGUAUAAUCAUAUCAAUAACCUUCCUGAAACGUAUUCAUCAUUUAAGUAUAAACUAAACUAG